UGGACACCUGGAACCUGCUGUUUAUCCACAGAACAGGUACAGCACAGGAAGCAGCAGUACACGCUUCCCCACAUAGCUCUCCAUGUUUUCCUAAGCAGAAAGGACCUCUAUGAGUAAGAGGGGAGCUAUGUGCUCCUGUGCUGCA
ensembl:misc_RNA